UAGCCGUGGUGUAUAGUGUGCGGGAUGAAGCAUUUGGUGAUUAAUUUUGUAUUGUUCUUUGUAUGCUAACGCUCCAUCGAUCCAAGAGCUUUUGUAGUCUAUUAUCUAAUGAAAUAAAAAAUGUUUUUUCUACAUUAAACAUUUUUAAAACGGUAAAAAUAAUCAAUAUUUUAUGAAUAAAUUUGUAAACAAAAUAUCUACGUUCUAAGUAUUAUAGAUUUUUCAAUAAAUAUACAAAAAGCAUGGAUGAGAAUGAUUCUUUUCAAUCUGAUGAAAAUAUACAAUAUAUUAUAGAUAUAGAUGAAGAUGAUGAUGAUGAUGAUUCACUUGAAAAUGUUGAUAAUUUGAUGUAUAACAGUAGUGAUAAUAUGAGUGCAACAAGUUCUCCAUUUAAUUUAUCUCAGUACUCAUUUGAUGAUCAAUCACAAAUUUUAGGUACUGAGGAUGAUGAUGAUGAUGACGAUGAUGAUGAUGAUGAUUAUGAUGAUGAUGAUUAUGAUUAUGAUCAUAAUAAUGAUGAUAUUGAUGAUAGUGGUGAUUUUUUAAGUGACAUCAGUAGUUGUGAAAGUUUAGAAAUUAAAAAAAAUCAAAAUGAAUCAAUUUCAGUUAAAAUACCAGAACAAAAAAUGACAGAAAAUGAUGAUAAUGAAGAUAACUAUGAGAUUAAAAUCUUUGAUCAACAGAUGCCAUUAAAAAAUAACAUUAAAUCUACUGCUGUAAAUAUAAAUAUCACUCCAAAAAUGAAUACAUCUAUUGACAAUUUUAAUUCUUCAUUAAUAUCUGGUCAAACUGAAAAUAAUUGUAAUGAACAUUUUUCGUAUAUAGAACAAGAAUUAGAUAUAGAAUCUCCUGAUGAAUCAAAUGCAGAUGUUUAUGUGAUUUCACAUAAUAAUGUAAAUUAUAUUAUUAAUAAAAGUGAAUUAAGUAAUAAAUCUUUAUCAAAAUUAUUUUCAAACGAAUCAGAUUUACCUAUGAAACAAUCAACUUCAAAAGUUGUACAAAAUGUUCGGAAAAAAAGAGUGUCUAAAACUAUUCCUCGGAUGGAAAAGCUUCCAAAUGGAAAAUACAAAAUGGUAUCACCUUGUGUAAAGGAACCUGUUGAUUUUAUUGAAUUAAGACAAAGUCCUAAAUGUAUUGAUACAUUACAAAUAAGAAAACCUUUAGUGAAUUCACAUCAGCUUGAACAUAAUCAGCUAAAUAAACAAGUAUCACCCGAAAAAUCCUCAUGGGAUAAAUCAACUGAUUUUGGUAAUAUAGAUAAAAAAGAAAAAACUAUUCCUCAUACUACUACUGGUAAAGAUGUAAUAAAAAAUCAUGAUCAUGUGCUUUCUGAAGACUGUGGUAUUAAAAUUAAUGAUAAAUAUAAAAAAAAAUGUGCAUCUGAAUUUAUUCAAAUUUCAUCAAAUUCUACAUAUUUAAUUCAAUCAGAUGAUUUACCAUUGGGUAAUACUAAAUUACAUGAUUCACAAACAAAAUUGAAUACCAAUAAUGACGAUCAAGGUAAAAAUGUUUUAAAAAAUGUUAUAGAAUCAAACAGUGAUGAUUCAAAUGAUUCAUGUACUACUAUUACUUCUAGUGAUGAAAUAAAUGAGUCCUUUGAGGAAAUCUGUGUACAAAAAGAAAUCAAAGUGAAAAAAUCUGUUGAAGAAAAUUCUGAUAACAUGAACAGGCUAUUACCAGAAGAAAUCAGUAAAGAUAAGCAAAAUAAAAUGUCUGACCAAGAAAAAUAUAAUAAAUCUGGCCAUUUUGUUUGCUGUGCAUUUCUAUAUUGCGAUACUAUAGUACAUGAACAUGAGUUAGUUAAUAAUUUAUAUUGUAGUUCAACUUGUAAGGAGUUAGAUUUAAAACAUUGUGUAACUGUAGAAGAAACUUCACAGAAAGAAAUGAAAUAUCCAACAAAAAAAACAAUAAUUGAUAAAAAAGAACGUUUAGAUAAAUCAGAAAUUAGAAAACAUAAAAGAAAACAAUUGUUAAUAUCUUCUUGUCCAGAAAAAAUGGCUCGAAGUAAUGAUUGGGAAGAACUUGAACAGUUUUACAAUUUUUGUAAUGAAUCUCCAAUAAAUGAAAUUCAAACUCUUCCGAAUUCGUCAUGCCAAAUAAGUUCUCCAGAAACAGAAAUUGAUGAUAACAAUGAUUAUGAUUGUGGUGAUGAUGAUGAUGAUGAUGAUGAUGAUGAUGAUGAUGAUGAUGAUGAAGAAGAUUUAUAUGAUGAUUCUGAUGAUUCUGAUAAUGAUAUGGAUCCAAAGUUUUUAAAAGACAAUGAAAACUCAAGAAAGUAUUUGAAUAGUAUACCAUUUAUAUCAGCUUCAAAAAAACUAUUUGAUCGACCUUUUCCUUCUAAAAAAAAUUAUUUCAAAGUAGGACAAAAAUUAGAAGGAAUUGAUCCUGAACAUGAAGCACUGUUCUGUGUAAUGACUGUAGUAGAAGUUUGUGGAUAUCGCAUUAAAUUACAUUUUGAUGGUUAUUCUGAUGACUAUGAUUUUUGGGUAAAUGCUGAUUGUCCAGAUUUAUUCUAUCCUAAAUGGUGUGAACAUAAUUCACGCAUUGUACAACCACCAAAAAAUUAUGAAAAUAAUUUUGAUUGGAAUAAUUACCUUAGGGUAACUAAUACAUUACCAGCUCCUAUAUGGAAUUUUGUUUCUACAUACAAUUUAGGUAGUUGUAAGAAAAAUAAAUUUCAAAUUGGAAAUAAAUUGGAGGCUCUAGAUAAAUUAACUCGUGUACUACCAAAACAGCUAAUAUGUGUUGCUACUGUUGCUGAUAUUUUGGGUAAUCGUAUACGUAUUCAUUUUGAUGGUUGGUCAGAUGAUUUUGACUAUUGGACGGAUAUCACAUCAACUAAUAUACAUCCAGUAAGAUGGUGCGAUAACAAUGGCCGUAUUUUGACUCCUCCUAAUGGUUACAAUGACUUUAAAGGAAAAAAACCUUUUUCUUGGACUGAAUACUUAAGAGAAACCAAUAGUAAACCUGUACCAGAAAAUGCCUUUGUUCGUAGACCAUUACGAGAUUUUGUAAUUAACACUACAAUUGAAGUAGUUGAUCUUGUUGUUCCAUCAUUAAUUAGAAUUGCUAAAAUAGUAGAUGUCAAAGGCGAUGAACUAAAAAUACUUUAUGAUGGAUUUGAUAGCAAUUAUGCUUAUUGGAUUGAAGAUGAUAGUCCAGAUAUCCAUCCUGUUGGAUGGUCUCUAAAAACUAAUCAUCCUAUUGAAAUACCUCGUGAUUAUCAAUAUAUAGGAUAUACAUUAUAUGAUAUCAAGAAACAAUCAUAUAUACACUAAAAAUCUUCAUAAUUAUCCCUUGAAUAUACCCCAAGAAAAUAAUUUUGAAUUAUUAAUAAAAUUAACUUGAAGCUCUUUUAACUACUGUUAAACAUUAAAAAUAUUCGGCUCUAAGAUUUUUAAAGUAUGUAUUGAUACUACCCUCAUAACAAAUCUGGAAAAUCUGAUAAUAUCAGUAAUUUUUAUUUAGAAAUUUGAAAUUCAAGGAUACUCAGGGAAACAAUAAGAAAUACUGGAUAAGAAAAAUUAUUUAUUUAAAAAUAUAAUAAUAGUUUAUUAUAGUUUUAAAUUUAAAGUUAUAAGCAAAUUAAUUAUGUAUAUUAUACAGAAAACAAUUUAUGAGAGAAAGAAUGCCUCUGGAGUUGUAAAGUUAUUGGUUGUAAUGGUAAAGGUAAUUCAAAUAGUUUAACUAAUAAUCAUAU
rnacentral:misc_RNA from 1 species